rnacentral:rRNA from 1 species
UACGUAGGGGGCAAGCGUUGUCCGGAUUUAUUGGGCGUAAAGAGCGUGUAGGCGGCCAAGCAGGUCAGCUGUGAAAACUUGAGGCUCAACCUCGAGACGUCGGUUGAAACCGCUUGGCUAGAGUCCGGAAGAGGAGAGUGGAAUUCCCGGUGUAGCGGUGAAAUGCGCAGAUAUCGGGAAGAACACCCGUGGCGAAGGCAGCUUGCUGGGACGGUACUGACGCUGAGACGCGAAAGCGUGGGGAGCAAACAGG